UACAGAGGGGGCAAGCGUUGUUCGGAAUUACUGGGCGUAAAGGGCGCGUAGGCGGCCUGUUAAGUCGAACGUGAAAUCCCCGGGCUCAACCCGGGAACUGCGUCCGAUACUGGCAGGCUUGAAUCCGGGAGAGGGAUGUGGAAUUCCAGGUGUAGCGGUGAAAUGCGUAGAUAUCUGGAGGAACACCGGUGGCGGAAGGCGGCAUCCUGGACCGGUAUUGACGCUGAGGCGCGAAAGCCAGGGGAGCAAACGGG
rnacentral:rRNA from 1 species